AGCGGCAGGCUUAAUACAUGCAAGUCGUGGGGCAGCACAGUGUAGCAAUACAUGGGUGGCGACCGGCAAACGGGUGCGGAACACGUACGCAACCUUCCUUUAACUGGAGAAUAGCCCGGGGAAACCCGGAUUAAUACUCCGUAACAUUAUGAAGUGGCAUCACUUUAUAAUUAUAGCUCCGGCGGUUGAAGAUGGGCGUGCGUCUGAUUAGGUAGUUGGCGGGGUAACGGCCCACCAAGCCUACGAUCAGUAACUGGUGUGAGAGCACGACCAGUCACACGGGCACUGAGACACGGGCCCGACUCCUACGGGAGGCAGCAGUAAGGAAUAUUGGUCAAUGGACGCAAGUCUGAACCAGCCAUGCCGCGUGGAGGAUGAAGGUCCUCUGGAUUGUAAACUUCUUUUAUUUGGGAAGAAACCACCGAUUUCUAUUGGUGUUGACGGUACCAGAUGAAUAAGCACCGGCUAACUCCGUGCCAGCAGCCGCGGUAAUACGGAGGGUGCAAGCGUUAUCCGGAUUCACUGGGUUUAAAGGGUGCGUA
rnacentral:rRNA from 1 species